AACAUUUCAACAUACCUUGCAUUCCAGAAUAUUGUUAACACUUUCUGAGCUGCAUUGCGUGCUGCAUAACUUAGCUUUCGUGUAAUGACAAGGCAUUGCUAGAGACAAUCAUCCACUUGCUUGCGAUCAGACCACACCUACAAUUUAGAAGUGCUCUGAUUAUAGCUCAACUACAGCUAGUUGGGGACAAUUUCCCCUUCGUUUGGUGGUGGCACGACCGUUGUUCAGCCUAGGCGACGUACAACUGUAUACCCAUUUGACUGUCGUUUUUUUUGGUAUAUAUAUUCGAGAGAGCCACAACUGUAUAUUUUGUAUAGAUUCAUCCGAAUAAAUUAAUCAAAUCUA
rnacentral:lncRNA from 1 species